ACUCUGAUUCAACAACAAAAGAAAAUGCGCCAAGCGAAAGCUUUGACAUCACUCGUGACUCAAGAAGGGAAGAAACUUCACUCGCACAACCAACAAAGAGAAAAGGAGGACUUUCGGCGGAUGACGAGGGAAAGUACCCUCAGGCCAAAUGAAAUUCAACCUGAUACGAUUGAUUCCCUUGCCUUAAAGGUAGAACCUUAGUGUUGGGGCUAUGCUAUUCCACAUCAACUGCAAAUAAGAGAGCAAUAUAAGACAGACAAGAGCCAGACAGAAGAGCAAGACAAAGUACUCAAGCAAAAGUAACUGG
rnacentral:lncRNA from 1 species